GUGCAUGACAAAUAGAGAGGAAUAAUGACUGAAAAUUUUUCAACCAAGGUUUGAAGAGUUUUGUUACGCUUUGCCCUCACCAAUGAAUCAUAAACAUACAGUUGCCGGUCCUUUAUGUCAAACACUAACAACAACCAAUGAAAUUUCUCUACAAGGUUAACAGGCAUUACCACAUAAUCCACAAGAUCCCAUGCUACAUUAGCAAGAAUUCAAUUGCCCAUAAUGUAUUCUCCAAUAUCAUCAUCGGCUUUAACAACAGAAUUCCUUUGAUCAAUUGGAGCAGUAGAGAACUUCUCAUAGAUACUUUCAAUUUUUGUCUUGA
rnacentral:lncRNA from 1 species